rnacentral:sRNA from 1 species
GUCUCUUAAGUGCUCUGAAGCUCCAUGUUCUCGACUGUAAAUAACCAUGAUGCUGACUGCACCAGCUUAAUGUGAGGAUUAAAGGAAGUAUGGACCAUGGAAGACUCUGGAGCACAGAAGCUAUUUAAAUGUUUGUUGAAUCCACAUUGUAGUCUCUGAAAUAAUCUCGUGCUUUGCCCUGUCCUUCUCCUGGUAGUAAGGGGAGCCUGAGCAGUAGCCCUACCCCUCUGCCUGCUCCAUCCACCUCUCACCUGCUGUGGCCACCUUCUUGAAAACAGCAGCCUCUGCAUUCCUGGGCCACUUUCUCUGCUGUGUUUUAAUAACACAGCACUCAUCACUUUCUGAUAUGUGAUAAAUACAAUUAAAUUUCCACAAUGGCAA